GGACUACCCGGGUUUCUAAUCCUGUUUGCUACCCACGCUUUCGCGCCUCAGCGUCAGUUGAUGCCCAGUGGACCGCCUUCGCCACGGGUAUUCCUCCCGAUAUCAACGCAUUUCACCGCUACACCGGGAAUUCUAUCCACCUCUGCAUCACUCUAGCUCGCCAGUAUGAAAAGCGGUUUCUUGGUUGAGCCAAGAGCUUUCACUUCUCACUUAACGAGCCGCCUACGCGCUCUUUACGCCCAGUAAAUCCGGACAACGCUUGCACCCUACGUCUUACCGCGGCUGCUGGCAC
rnacentral:rRNA from 1 species